UACAGAGGGUGCAAGCGUUAAUCGGAAUUACUGGGCGUAAAGCGCGUGUAGGCGGGUCGUUAAGUUGGGGGUGAAAUCCCGAGGCUCAACCUCGGAACUGCCUUCAAAACUGGCGGCCUGGACCCAAGUAGAGGCAAGUGGAAUUGCGAGUGUAGAGGUGAAAUUCGUAGAUAUUCGCAGGAACACCAGUGGCGAAGGCGACUUGCUGGACUUGUGGUGACGCUGAGACGCGAAAGCGUGGGGAGCAAACAGG
rnacentral:rRNA from 1 species